UACAGAGGGAGCUAGCGUUGUUCGGAAUUACUGGGCGUAAAGCGUGCGCAGGCGGUGAUGUAAGACAGAUGUGAAAUCCCCGGGCUCAACCUGGGAACUGCAUUUGUGACUGCAUCGCUGGAGUGCGGCAGAGGGGGAUGGAAUUCCGCGUGUAGCAGUGAAAUGCGUAGAUAUGCGGAGGAACACCGAUGGCGAAGGCAAUCCCCUGGGCCUGCACUGACGCUCAUGCACGAAAGCGUGGGGAGCAAACAGG
rnacentral:rRNA from 1 species